UUACCUGGGCUUGACAUCCCGUGUUACCCCUUGUAAGAGGGGGUUCCCUUCGGGGACACGGUGACAGGUGUUGCAUGGCUGUCGUCAGCUCGUGUCGUGAGAUGUUGGGUUAAGUCCCGCUACGAGCGCAACCCCUGUUCCUAGUUACCAGCGGUUCGGCCGGGCACUCUAGGAAGACCGCCCGUGAUAAGCGGGAGGAAGGUGGGUACGACGUCAAGUCAUCAUGGCCCUUACGCCCAGGGCUACACACGUGCUACAAUGGCCGGUACAAGUGGGCUGCGAAGCCGCGAGGUGGAGCCAAUCCCCAAAAGCCGGUCUCAGUUGGGAUUGGAGUCUGCAACUCGACUCCAUGAACCUGGAAUCGCUAGUAAUCGCGCAUCAGCAGUGGCGCGGUGAAUACGUUCCCGAGCCUUGUACACACCGCCCGUCACAUGACCCGAGUCGGGUGCACCCGAAGUCGCUGACCCAACCCUCGGGAGGGAGGCGCCGAAGGUGUGCUUGUAAGGGGGAUGAAGUCG
rnacentral:rRNA from 1 species